GAUGAACGCUGGCGGCGUGCCUAAUACAUGCAAGUCGAGCGAACAGACGAGGAGCUUGCUCCUCUGACGUUAGCGGCGGACGGGUGAGUAACACGUGGAUAACCUACCUAUAAGACUGGGAUAAUUUCGGGAAACCGGAGCUAAUACUGGAUAAUAUAUUGAACCGCAUGGUUCAAUAGUGAAAGACGGUUUUGCUGUCACUUAUAGAUGGAUCCGCGCCGCAUUAGCUAGUUGGUAAGGUAACGGCUUACCAAGGCAACGAUGCGUAGCCGACCUGAGAGGGUGAUCGGCCACACUGGAACUGAGACACGGUCCAGACUCCUACGGGAGGCAGCAGUAGGGAAUCUUCCGCAAUGGGCGAAAGCCUGACGGAGCAACGCCGCGUGAGUGAUGAAGGUCUUCGGAUCGUAAAGCUCUGUUAUUAGGGAAGAACAAAUGUGUAAGUAACUAUGCACGUCUUGACGGUACCUAAUCAGAAAGCCACGGCUAACUACGUG
rnacentral:rRNA from 1 species